rnacentral:misc_RNA from 1 species
AUGCCACCAAUAUAUAUUUGGGGGAAAAAUAUAUACUACACUAACAAUAGAAUGCCACCUAUAUAUGCUACAAGCAUGCAAUUUAAGAUCUUCCACAAGAUUUACAGAAGCAAGAUAUUGCAACUAGAAGCCCUAGUCUUACAAAUGCAAAAGUACACAUCAACUUCUAUUUACACUUAUCUAGUUAUCAUUUUGAAUUUUUAAGACCCAGAAAUUUCAUUCUUACCCGAAAAUUGCCAAUGGAAUGACAUGCUACUUCUAUUUCAUUUCAUUUCAUUCCAUUCCAAAAUCAUUAUGCCUCAGACAAUUAAUCUUCACAUUUGUCAUAAAUCCAAUUGAUAAUAAGAAUGAUGUAAACCAACUAUCAAAGUGUUCUCAACGAUUUGCAAUGGAAGAAGUAAAUGAUUAACUACAUUUCCCCUUUUCAUCACAUUAUCAAUCAUUAAGAUUAUCUCCUAGAGGCACUACAAAAGAUGAUGGCACCAUAUGAAAGAGCAGAAGCAUUGGGGUUGGGCAUUAGUCAAUUUUAA